UACGGGGGAGCAAGCGUUGUUCGGAUUUACUGGGCGUAAAGGGCGCGUAGGCGGUCAGCACAAGUCAGUUGUGAAAUCUCCGGGCUUAACUCGGAAAGGUCAACUGAUACUGUGCGACUAGAGUGCGGAAGGGGCAACUGGAAUUCUCGGUGUAGCGGUGAAAUGCGUAGAUAAUCGAGAGGAACACCUGCGGCGAAGGCGGGUUGCUGGGCCGACACUGACGCUGAUGCGCGAAAGCCAGGGAGCGAACGGG
rnacentral:rRNA from 1 species